rnacentral:misc_RNA from 1 species
UCCCCGUUAUCCGAGGCAGUCUGCUGUGAAAAACAACACAGCAUAGGGGUUGCGCUCGUUACCCCACUUAAGGGUACACCUCACGGCACGAGCUGACGACAACCAUGCAGCACCUGUGUAACACCCUCGAAGGAGUCCCACUUUCAUGGGAUUUGCAGUUACAUGUCAAACCUUGGUGAGGUGCCUCGCUUACCGUCGAAUUAAACCACAUGUUCCACCGCUUGUGCGGGUCCCCGUCUAUUCCUUUGAGUUUUAGUCUUGCGACCGUACUCCCCAGGCGGGAUGCUUAACGCGUUAGCUUUGUUGAACGACUCUGGGAGGGUCGAUACUCCCAAAAUCCAGCAUCCAUCGUUUAGGGCGUGGACUA